GAUGAACGCUGGCGGCGUGCCUAAUACAUGCAAGUCGAGCGAACGGACGAGAAGCUUGCUUUUCUGAUGUUAGCGGCGGACGGGUGAGUAACACGUGGAUAACCUACCUAUAAGACUGGGAUAACUUCGGGAAACCGGAGCUAAUACCGGAUAAUAUUUUGAACCGCAUGGGUCAAAAGUGAAAGACGGUCUUGCUGUCACUUAUAGAUGGAUCCGCGCUGCAUUAGCUAGUUGGUAAGGUAACGGCUUACCAAGGCAACGAUGCAUAGCCGACCUGAGAGGGUGAUCAGCCACACUGGAACUGAGACACGGUCCAGACUCCUACGGGAGGCAGCAGUAGGGAAUCUUCCGCAAUGGGCGAAAGCCUGACGGAGCAACGCCGCGUGAGUGAUGAAGGUCUUCGGAUCGUAAAACUCUGUUAUUAGGGAAGAACAUAUGUGUAAGUAACUGUGCACAUCUUGACGGUACCUAAUCAGAAAGCCACGGCUAACUACGUG
rnacentral:rRNA from 1 species